AUGAAUUGUCGACACGAGUUGUUGCUGGCCCCCUGACCGGGAGCACGUGCACGCUCUGUUUACACAUCCACUCACACCUGUGCACCCUCUGUAGUUCUGUGGCCUGGGGGUUUCCGCCCUCUUGCUGCGGUCCUGCGUCUUUACACACACACACUGUAACAAAGUCUUGUGGAAUGUACUCGCGUUUAACGCAAUACAAUA
rnacentral:misc_RNA from 1 species